rnacentral:lncRNA from 1 species
GCCAAAUGGGGGGGCUAAUUACACACAAAACCUCAAUACACGAAAAAAACCCCAAAUCAGAAAGAGGAUACUUGAAUCAGAAAACUCCUUCCCGAUUUCGAAUUCGACUCCAAUGUUCUUACCGAGAUUAAUCAUCACCCACCACGUGAAGGAGCCGCUUCAACCACCAAAGAUGAGUACUCCGAGACUGAAAAAGUCUAUGACCACUUCGAAAAACAGCAAAUCGAAGAGCAUGAGGAGGGGGUUUAGAUCGAGCACAUGAAGCUUGCUAAUGGGUACUAUGAGAUUGAGGCCAUACGCACAAAGCGAGUUUGAACAGUCCAUCAUUUCUUCUUUCCAUCUUUUCUCAUAAAAUUGAAAUAACCGUGCUAUUUGACUUCUAUUAGAUGCAAAUGACUCUUUUGUCAAGCGUGAAUCCCAUAUUAAUAAUAAUCAGGUAUGAGUUUUAGCUUUUACAUUUGUUAUUUUCUUCACUGUAUAUAGUAGAAAUUUUGCAAAAGUGUCGAUUCUCCAAGUUUUUGAAAUCGAUACGGUGAAAUUGCAGGUGGAGGGUAAAGUUUUGGAACAUUUCUGGUUGCUUCUGUUUGGAAAUUAUUGGCAUUGAUAUUUGUUCCAUCUCAUAGGAUUUUGUCUAGCGAUUUAUGAUGUAUGUGGUGGAGAAUAGAGAAGGAUGUUAAUAUAUAUGGCCUGUGAUUUUGAUGAUCUUGGAGAGGUUUUAUCGUCUUCCUCGUCAUACUUACAUUGGUUAUACAUUGACAAAUCUAUUAGCUAAUGUUGUCAUUGUUUUAACAUUUGGUGAGUUGGAUUUAUAAAAUCGAUUAUUUUGAAUUAGAUUCAAGCUUUUAUCUGAUUUGGCUGUUGAGUGCACGGCUUACAUUGAGCCUUUGACGUGUGAUCAUCUCUUUAACAUACACUUUGACUCUCUCAUUAACUCUAUAUUUGUUUGAAGAGCUAGCAGAUUGAUUUUCAUUAGUUGAAGUGGAACUUAAAUAAGGAGCAAAGAGCCUGUUGGCAAUGUGAUUAGGUUUAGUUUAACCCUUGUAAUAUAGAUAAUUGACAUUUAUGAAGUAUCUUUUUGAUUAUUUUGCUAUUGUGAUUGGGAACAUGUUUGAAAAUAAAAUUUUUGAACUUGAGAAGAAAUUGAUUGUGUCAAUAUAUAUGAAAAAUUAGCUUUAAAUCAAUUAAAUUGAUGCAUACAAAGUGUUUGACGAUAGGAGAAUGUGAAAAGUGACAUUCUGUCAUUUUUCUAAAAAAAGUCAUACUAUCUCAUUUGAGCAAUUAACUAAUUGUAUACAUGUGUAUUUUUAAAAAUUUGAACAUAUAAAUUCAAGCAUUAAUGUUUUAUUUUAAUACAUAAAAGAUAGUUUUGAAUUAAUUAGAUUGAUGCAUGCAAUGUGUUUAUUCAAGGAAAAUGUAGAAAAGUGACAUACUUUUUAAAAAAAGUCACGUUAUCUCAUUUGAGCAAUUAACUAGAUACAUAUGUGUGCGUUUUUUUUUAUUUUUGGAAAAUUUAAGCAUACAAAUUCAAGCCUUGUUUUAUAUCAGUAUAUAUGAAAAGGAAAACUUUGAAUCCAUUAGAUUGAUGCAUGUGAGGUGUUUGCUCAAGGAGAAUGUGGAAAAUCGUGUCACUUUUUAUUUUCUGUCAAUUUUUUUAGUUUGUAUCACUUUUUUAAAUUCGUCACUUUUUAAAGUUUCUGUCACUUUUUUUAACUUUUGUCACCUUUUUAAGUAGUUGUGACUUUUUAGUCUAUCACUUUUUUAGUGACAAACAUAAUUUUUUAAUAAAAGUGAGAUUGUUGAAAACGAUUUUUCAAAAGACUCCUAAUUUUAAGGGUAUUUUUGUAAGUUGCCCUUUUGUUAAAGUAACAAGAGGAUAUUAGGCCCACUAUAUGGCUUCUUUGAAGAACGGCGUUCUUACAAAACUUCUCGAAGAGACAAAAAUGGAAGAAAAGGAUUUCAACGAUGUGUAGAAACCUGUAUUACUACAAAUCAAGAGCAUAAUACCCAUACUAGAAGAAGGUAAUCUUUGGCCUAACAAAGGAUUUUCUUAAAUGUUUUAGAUAUGGAACACCAUGUAUUUGUUUAAUUGCCUCAAUUAUUACAAAUCAAGAGCAUAAUACCCGUACUGGAAGAAGGUAAUCUUUGGCCUAAUAGAGAAUUUUCUUAAAUGUUUUAGAUAUGGAACACCAUGUAUUUGUUUAAUUGCCUCAAGAAGAUAAUGAUGUGAUUUUGGGUAACAUAUUAAAACUUGGGCAAUUUGUAUAUGUGCAGAAGUUAGAUAAAGCUACCCCAAUUCCGUUGCUCAGAGGCAUAACCUAUAUUCCAGGGUGGCAUCCAUGCAUGUCAUUCAAGCCUUGCUUUCACCCCUUUACAAGGUAAGAGAUGCUCUAGAGUAGGUUGAUCGCGAGAUGGAAGUAUGCUCUUACUUGUUUUUGCAUUGUAUAUACAACUUAGUUCAUGAUGUUAACUUUUAUUUUCAACAAUUCAUGUGCAUGUGUAUAGGAGUAUGCUAAUUGUUCAAUAUUCUCCCCUAGAUAUAUCCCAUUUGGAUAUGCCCACACAAACUACAAACUUUCUCAGGAACCGUGGUAUAUCUCAAACCAAGAUUUGAGCUACAAUGCAGGCAAGGUGAUACACAGUAUACUCAAAUGUAUAUUGAUAUUGGAGUCUAUUAUGCUCUUGGACCAAUCAUUCGGGCCGAGUAAUUUGAAGGAGCAGAGGUUGUUCGCCAAAUGGAGAAUUGGGUUACUGAAACUAUGAAUUACUGACUGAGAAUAAUUUCGGAAGAAUGUUUAAUGUUGGUCUUUACGAGCAUUGCAUGAGGAAGUAUGGAGCCGUUGGUACCUUAAUGAGCGAGGUAAGAAGGCAAAGAAAGAAGUGAAUGAAACUGAGCAGGCAGCUAUUGAGAGUCAAUAUGCCGAGGUUAGAUUAGCUGGCAAAUUGUUGGGCAUUUUAUAAAUUUUUCAUUGGAAUUCUCUCCCUUUUCAUUUACUGCCUUUCAGUACAUAUCCCAAGUAAUCAAAGUCUAUAGUUUGGUCA